rnacentral:ncRNA from 1 species
GAAAGGCUGUAUGCCUGAUGAGGACGUACAGCUGGAUAUGCACCUUCGUGUAUAUCCCACUUUAAA